UGAAGAAGAGCUUUAAAUGACAUCUUUCAGUGGACUGCUAGGGACUAUGUCCUCAUUUGUUCUUCCUGUAAAGAAUUUCUGUCGUUGCUUUUCUGCUACUCAAAUUAUAUCACAAAAGAAGUUAUCCUGUAUGUUAGAAGAUAGAAGCAUCUUACGUGGACCCUUUUCCUGCUGAUCAUCCUAACAGGCAAGGUUCUGGUCAGCAUGAUGCAUGUCUCGAGUUUUAUGAGCACUUGGGAAUCACCA
rnacentral:lncRNA from 1 species